rnacentral:rRNA from 1 species
CAACUGUGUGAAUUAAUGUGAACUGCAUACUGCUUUGAACAUCGACAUCUUGAACGCAUAUUGCGGCCAUGGGUUAGCCUGUGGCCACGCCUGUCCGAGGGUCGGCUUAUAAACUAUCACGACGCCCAUAAAGUCGUGGCUUGGGUUUUGCCAGCUGGCGUGAUUUCCUUAUCAUUAAUUUUGGUGAGGUGCCAGAUCUAUGGCUUUUCCCUAAUGUGUCCG